GAUGAACGCUAGCUACAGGCUUAACACAUGCAAGUCGAGGGGAAACGAUAGAGAAAGCUUGCUUUUUCUAGGCGUCGACCGGCGCACGGGUGAGUAACGCGUAUCCAACCUGCCCACCACUUGGGGAUAACCUUGCGAAAGUAAGACUAAUACCCAAUGACGUCUCUAGAAGACAUCUGAAAGGGAUUAAAGAUUUAUCGGUGAUGGAUGGGGAUGCGUCUGAUUAGCUUGUUGGGCGGGGGUAACGGCCCACCAAGGCAACGAUCAGGUAGGGGGUUCUGAGAGGAACGGUCCCCCCA
rnacentral:rRNA from 1 species